UGCAUUUCACUUCUAUUUCCUUUCACUCAUCUCUGCACUUCUCUUGCUCUCUCUCUCUCUCUCAUUUUCUAUUUUUAAUAACUUGAAACAUUAUUUCUAAGAAGAAUCUAACCUGAAUUGUAUGCUUUGAUCAUCCCACUUUGGCACUGUUAUCAUUUCUUCCUCACAACUGCUAUAGUACUUUGGCAUACCUAAUGUUGCUUUCAGUUUCUCAACUAGUAAUUCAUAACUUGUGCUUUUAUAUUGUAUUUAGCAGUAGCACUGUCAUAUGCAGUUAACGACUGCCUGAAUUGGAUAGAGAAGACAAACCUAAAAUUUGGUCAUGUGUAGCAGAAUAUAGAUGAAUUUUGAUGAUUUUGAAGUGAAUAACCUAUUUAGCUGUUGUACCUUUACAAUUUUAGUCUAAUGCAUUCUUGGUUAAUUGUGAUUGCUCAACUUCUUUGAGAGCCAUGGCUGAUUUUUCUUUUCCCCUUAGGGCAUUCAUAAUUUCACAUGCUAUUUCAAAAUUCUGCCUGUCUGUCCUCCCUAUGCGUAUGUGUCUGCCCAUUAGCUUUAAAGAAUUAGCAGUGCCAGUGCAAAAGUUAACAAUGUCAAACACUGCCUUUCUGCAUUAAUAUGUUCGAGUGAGAGUUUAGUGGUGAUGGUAAUUUUGUUAAUGCUAAGGGUUCUAUCUAGUUUUCAUUCUUACUCUUACAGAGUUGUUUUUGUUUUGAAACGCGUUUCUUGAAAAUUAUGUACAAAUUCUGCUUGAUUGCCCAAUUUUGAAUCAUAUGACUUCCUGUUGAUAUUUAAGAUUAACUACAACAACUUGGUUGAAUUGUAUGGUGGUACUGUUAAACCAAAUCAGUGUUUCAGAAAGACAAAAUUCUUUUGCAAUUUAUUUGACUAGGAUUUCAGGAAUCACCAUUUUUUUGGGAGGUUGGGGGAUGAUUUCCUUCAUGUUUUGUUAAAAAUUCAGAUAAAGAUUUUCUGCCAUUUGUUUCCAGCUCAGUAAGUGCAAAUAUAUUUUGAAUUUUGAAUAAAGCAAGUUUUUGUUGAACAUUUUCAGAAUGUGAUUUUCUGUAGAAAAUGGUUUCUUCCGUAUACAACCAAACAGUAGGGUAUAUUGUGAUGUUAACAGUUAACAAUUGCUGUAAUAACACUUGUCUUGCUUUACAUUGGUUCAUAUUUUUAAUUUCGAAUUUUGAAUAAAGCAAUUUAUUGUUGAACAAUUCAGAUUGUGAUAAUCAAUAAAAACUAACAAUUGUGGUGAUGGUGAAAACCAUCAGAAAUGGUUGCGAAUAAGCUUAACAUGCUUCCUAGUACGCAUACGUGGUGUGGUUUAUACCAUUUAUUAUGCAAGAUGGUGCUUCUAAAACUUUUACUUGCAUGUAUUGGUGGAAAAAUGGCAUUCAUGGGUCACAUUUGGACUUCCUGUCAUGUUCAUGCUCCAUAAUUUGGCUGCAAAGAUGUGUGUGGCAUCCAUGGGUAGUGAUGCGCAUUUUGGUGGCUGGAUCAAUGACUAUGAUCUACCCUAAUUUUAGACAAUAUAUAUACUGUAAAUGGUUUUAUUCUUAGUUGAUAUUUUUGUUUUGCUUCUUAUCAAGCAAACCUUGGAAGUUAAUGAUGUUUUUGUCUAAGUCAUGUACUACUUGGGCAUUAAAUGGACAUCUGUGACCUGUUACAGAUUAUCUUAUCACAAGAGAAGAAUAUUUUUAGACUCAACGAACUUGUCCGGAGUCUUCGGCAGCAACUACUGCUGUGCAGGUGCAAUAAUGAGACCACAAAUGGCAUCUCUGGCCCUUUUACUGAACAUGUUAUUGAGGUGGAGCGAGAGCAGAUCCUGGAAGACUAGGAUAGGUUCUUAUGAGCUGUUUUUCAGUGUUUUUAGGUAAUGUUGAAACUGUAAAACUUUUGGUU
rnacentral:misc_RNA from 1 species